UCACUUGAGUCGUUGAUGGAAUCGGAGUC
rnacentral:piRNA from 1 species